rnacentral:rRNA from 1 species
AGUGAACGCUGGCGGUAGGCCUAACACAUGCAAGUCGAACGGCAGCACAGUAAGAGCUUGCUCUUACGGGUGGCGAGUGGCGGACGGGUGAGGUAUACAUCGGAAUCUACUUUUUCGUGGGGGUUAACGUAGGGAAACUUACGCUAAUACCGCAUACGCCCUACGGGUGAAAGCAGGGGAUCUUCGGACCUUGCGCGAUUGAAUGAGCCGAUUUCGGAUUAGCUAGUUGGCGGGGUAAAGGCCCACCAUGGCGACGAUCCGUAGCUGGUCUGAGAGGAUGGUAGGCGACACGGGAGCGGAGACGCGGUCCAGACUCCUACGGGAGGCAGCAGUGGGGAAUAUUGGACAAUGGGCGCAAGCCUGAUCCAGCCAUACCGCGUGGGUGAAGAAGGCCUUCGGGUUGUAAAGCCCUUUUGUUGGGAGAGAAAAGCAGCAGGUUAAUACCCCGCUGUUCUGACGGUACCCAAAGAAUAAGCACCGGCUAACUUCGUG